rnacentral:ncRNA from 2 species
AUAAAUUGAAUAGAACUGCGGUCAGGUAUUUUUACCUGUUUGAAGGGAACCCGGUGAGAAUCCGGGACAGUCUAUCUCUACUGUAUGAGGGACGAACGGAACAUAGGGCCACUGGAGAGAUCUGGGAAGGCGUUUCUAGUAGGAGGAACUCGAGUCAGGAUACAGCAACGCAGUUUAAGUGGGAGAU